ensembl:snRNA U6 U6 spliceosomal RNA
GUGCUCGCUUCGGCAGCACAUAUACUAAAAUUGGAACGAUGCAGAGAAGAUUAGCAUGGCCCCUGCACAAGGAUGACACACAAAUUUGUGAAAUUUUUACAACAGAA